UGGGGAAUAUUGCGCAAUGGGCGAAAGCCUGACGCAGCGACGCCGCGUGAGGGAUGAAGGUUUUCGGAUCGUAAACCUCUGUCAGAAGGGAAGAAACCGCACUGUGCUAAUCAGCAGUGCCUUGACGGUACCUUCAAAGGAAUCACCGGCUAACUCCGUGCCAGCAGCCGCGGUAAUACGGAGGGUGCAAGCGUUAAUCGGAAUUACUGGGAGUAAAGCGCACGUAGGCUGCUUUGUAAGUCAGGGGUGAAAUCCCACGGCUCAACCGUGGAACUGCCUUUGAUACUGCUUAGCUUGAAUCCGGGAGAGGGUGGCGGAAUUCCAGGUGUAGGUGUGAAAUCCGUAGAUAUCUGGAGGAACAUCAGUGGCGAAGGAGGCCACCUGGACCGGUAUUGACGCUGAGGUGCGAAAGCGUGGGGAGCAAACAGG
rnacentral:rRNA from 1 species